rnacentral:misc_RNA from 1 species
GAUGAAGAACGUGGCGAAAUGCGAUAAGUAAUGUGAAUUGCAGAAUUCAGUGAAUCAUCGAAUCUUUGAACGCACAUUGCGCCCGCCAGUAUUCUGGCGGGCAUGCCUGUUCGAGCGUCAUUUCAACCAUCAAGCCCCAGGCUUGUGUUGGGGACCUGCGGCUGCCGCAGGCCCUGAAAACCAGUGGCGGGCUCGCUGUCACACCGGGCGUAGUAGAUUUUAUCUCGCUCAGGGCGUGCUGCGGGUUCCGGCCGUUAAAAAGCCUUUUUUACCCAAGGUUGACCUCGGAUCAGGUAGGAAGACCCGCUGAACUUAAGCAUAUCAAUAAGCGGAGGA